UACAGAGGUCUCAAGCGUUGUUCGGAUUCAUUGGGCGUAAAGGGUGCGUAGGCGGCACGGUUAGUCAGGUGUGAAAUCUCCACGCUCAACGUGGAGGGGUCACCUGAUACUGCCGAGCUUGAGUCCGGUAGGGGAGUGUGGAAUUCCCGGAUGUAGCGGUGAAAUGCGCAGAUAUCGGGAGGAACACCCGAUAGCGAAGGCGGCACGCUGGGCCGUUCUGACGCUGAGGACGCG
rnacentral:rRNA from 1 species